rnacentral:lncRNA from 1 species
CCAAAAAAGGGCCCAAAAUAAGCAUUAUUCUUGGUUUUCGCACAAUAACUUUAGUUUAAGUAAAUAGAAAUCAAUGAAAUUUAAACACAAUGUUAAUGACUACAAAAGGAAGGUUGGUAUUGAUUUUGGGAGUUUAGGUCCCAACAGUUUAGGAAUUAGGGGCCAAAAAGGGACCCAAAUAAGCAUUUUUCUUGGUUUUCGCACCAUAACGUUAGUAUAAGUAAAUAGAAAUCUAUGAAAUUUAAACAA